rnacentral:rRNA from 1 species
UACGUAGGCAGCGAGCGUUGUUCGGAGUUACUGGGCGUAAAGGGUGUGUAGGCGGUUGUUUAAGUUUGGCGUGAAAUCUCCCGGCUCAACUGGGAGGGUGCGCCGAAUACUGAAUGACUUGGAGUGCGGGAGAGGUGAGUGGAAUUCCUGGUGUAGCGGUGAAAUGCGUAGAUAUCAGGAGGAACACCGGUGGUGUAGACGGCCCACUGGACCGUAACUGACGCUGAGACACGAAAGCGUGGGUAGCAAACAGG